rnacentral:lncRNA from 1 species
CGUCUUUUUGUCACAGACAUUCCUUGGAAGUGUUAUAAUAUACUCUCCCUUUCAGAGGGUAUCACAUACAUUCCACAUAUUAGAUUUAUUUCAUUUCGUAUUCUUCCACAGAGUAUCAGCAACAUAUAUAACCCAUAGUCACAGAUGUAUGUUUCCGAGAAUAGUUUUCUUUAACACAAUUAAAGCUGGAUGUGAAAGAUCAUAUACUCCUUGUAGGGUUGGCUUGAAUUUCUCCCGACCUAUACUAUGUAGUAAAUCAAACUACCUGCGCCUAGCACGACGAGCCGAACACUAUCACAGUCCCGUUUUAUCCCUUGAGGUAGGAAGCUUGGUAGAAAAGGGUCCCCCUCCUUUUCCCACCACUGCUGGUGAAGUAAAUAGAGAUAUGUUGGCAAUAAGUGGCCUGAUUGCGUUUGGAAAAUCAAUCUAUCAAUUAUUGCCGCAAAAUUAAUUCCUGGCUUUCAAUGAGUGUGUUUUCAAUGAUCUCAGUGGCCACCAUCUCAUAAAUGUAUUUCCUGAUCUCUCGGCAUCAGGAUAGAUGCUAUCACAACAAAUUACCUUGCGAUGAUAGACACAAAUUAUAAACUUAAAAACAUAUCCACCCUCAGAAUUGAUACGGUGCCAUCCUCUUUCCCAGUCGGUAAACACUGUAUGAUAUGUUUUUCUCCCUGUUAGUUUUAUGGAGAAGUCAGGAAGCCCAACUCUCACUAGCUCAGUGUGUAAUAGACGCUAUCUACCUCUCCGCUCACACAUCUCCGCAAUUAUUGUGUGGCAAAACACAGCGAUAAGCUUCGUUCAGCAACACUAGGUAUAGGGACGUUGAUCAACGGUUUGGGCUCUUCUACAGAGACAAAGCUACGGAGCAGAGGGAAGGACGGCUCAAACGGACGAAUCCCACCACGACACACACGAUACACGAAUGGCGUCUCAGUCGAAAUUGAAUAUGGCAACCACCAACGCUUGUGAAAAACCGAACAUUGCUGCCGCAGCUUGAGACUCCCUUGGCAGACUUGAUGUUAGAAGACAAACGAGUGUCUGGUCGGAACUAACCACAAGUGUCAUCGAUUGAGACGGGACGGAAAUUCCGGAUGGCAGUCACACAAGGACAGAAGACGUCAAUGCAUGUGCAAUCGUAUCAACGUCUAUAUAUCUUUCCAAUCGUUAGUCAAACUGCUUCAGAUUUUCCAUCUUUUCGUAGACUAGCAUCUUUCUUCCGAAGAUCAAAGGUUACACACACUAAACUCAAAUUCGGCACGUGAAAGAAAUCGAUAUGAAUAAUGUUUGCGAUUAAAGGAAAAUAAACCCAAAUCCAGUCAGUUUCAUUCCUCAUAUCUAAAAAGCAGCGCUAUCUCCCAAAGGAAAUUAAGAACGUGAUUUUUGAAAAUUUAACAUCAAUCCUCUGUUGAUGCAGUUCUUAUAAACCAAUUUGUGUCCCUGUAUGUUUUAUUAUCAAAGUGUUAUCGCUCAUUCAUUUCGCAAUUUGUAUAGUGGAACACAAUCAAUGGUGGAGUCGACGAUCAGCCAAACACUUGUUAGAAUAAAUCUAACACACCAUUGUUCAGGCCUGAUCUCCAUAGCCGUCUUUUUCAUUCCAGAGAAACAUUAUCUGAACCAACUUCUGGAUAUCUCGUUAUUUAUUUUAGAACAAAAUCGAACCGCAACAGUUAAUGAUUCAAGGAACGUUGUUUUUGUUAUGUCAUAUAGGUAAAACAAAUAGGCUGUGUAUGGCAAUGAGCGGAAAAUGUACUUAACAGAUACGAGUACAUGCACUUUCGCAAGUUGACAUUGUAAACAUUUCUGUUUUGAUGAUUGCGUCUUUGUGAGAAGUAGAGCACACAUAUACAUACAUUCAGAUUCAGAUUCUUACUUGUCCAGGUUAAUUACUACGACGUGCUAGUGUUUACUUACGUUCAUAUUAAGGCAGCAACUGCAACACGUGAAGUACAGUUAAAAAGGGUGCGCCUCAUGAUUAACAGAUUACAUGGUAAGCGGCAGAGAAUAAUGGGGAAGAUAUGAAUUACUCGGGGAGAUAUGAAUUACUCGGGGACAUAUGAGUUUCUAGGGAGGAUAUGAGUUACUAGGGAGGAUCUGAGUUACUAGGGAAGCUAUGAAAUACCCGGAAAGCUAUGAAUAAUCCGGGAGGAUAUGACACAAUAGUAUGAUUUAAGUUGUUUGGGAAGAUAAACAUUAUUUAUAUCAUGAAUAACCGCAACGAUAUUAUCUAAUGUUGACUGAAUACAUUUUUUAAGAUUUUCACAUUUCCAUUCGAACCUUGAAAUAUGCGCAAUCAUAUAUCUGGCAUAUAUUCAGUUAUUAUAAAGCUGUAGUAGUUGACUUAUCUAACAAAUGAUUUCCCAACCUAUCCAAAUGUCAAACACACUUUCAUCUAUACUAACUUUGAUAUACGCUUAUGCAGUAUACAUUCGAGAAAACUCCCGUUCACAUUCAUAUUUACGAGAACUCCUCAAAGAUCUAAUUUUCAACACCUCUCAUGUUUUUACGAGUUCCUUAUAUACACACAUUAAAACCGGGUAAAUAGCAAGGCGGCUCAUAGAUCCUGAUUGAGAUUAACAGAAAUGUCAUUUCACAGCCACCAUAAAGUUUUAUUUUAGCGAUCUUAUAUAAUGGUCCUAUUUUGGUUAGCUUUUUAAUGCCACAACAGAGAGUCGGCUUAAAUGUCACCGUGUAGUAUUUUUUUAUUAUUAUUCAACCGUGGCUUUUUCUUAAUCUGCUUAAACUUGUACGGAUGACGCGUAUAUCUUCUAGUCUGUGUUACUUCUCUCCUUGUAGAACAGUUCCUUUGGUGGCAGUAAAUAGCGGAUUCUUCAGUUUUAUUGUUGUGCGGAGCUCUUCUGCAAUUUACCAGCAGUUAGAGACAUAGACAUUAUUACGCUGAAGUCAACAGAUAACGCAUGUCAAGCGUCUGGAAGACACAGACCGGAUGUUUCGAAACUGCAAACAGGAAGCAGUACUGGCAUUUCGGUCUGCAACUUUAGCCUGUCGUGCUUUCAAAAGUAAUCUUGCAGUCAUCAUCGUUACACAUUGCUGGAAAAUCCUACGACUUAAACUCAGCAUGAAGGAGGGGCAGGGGACAGGUAAUUUAUUAGGUUAAACACUUUCGUAAACUAUUCGGAUGUCAAGGGUUUGAGUCUGGGUUUGGCAGUUGCAAAGCCAAUGCCUGCUUCAUGGUACAGACACCAUAAAGCAUCUGUUUAAAAUAUAUGGCUUUACUUCCGGUUUAUACAAUAUGCAGAAGAAGAUAAAAUUCUAAACACAAAAACAGAUGUGCUGCAGAUAUGUUAGCCACUAGAAUGACUAAGCACUGUUACGAAAUGUUUCACUCCAUUACAACAGUUGAAAAUAUGUGUACUUUCCAAGGAAAAGACAGUCAGCGUAACAAAUAGCAAAAUAUCAAUCUUACCGUAGCUUUAUGUGCAAUAGCCACUGGACCUGCAAAAUCAAUACCCUGUGAAGUUUGUCAUAUUAGCUAAAAUAAGGGACCACAAAAAACAAAGAAACAGUAGUUUGGGUACCGAAAGCUAAAUUACAUGUUUGGACCCCCUCCUCCCGAGUUUAUCAACAAUGUUUAAUUUGUUUACAUAAAUAUACAUGUAAACUGUUUUAGUUUUUAUAAAGUGUUAUAAUCAAAACUAUCAACAUUUUGUUAAUAACGUAUGUGCUAUAUAACAAAAAGAUACUUUGUAGUAAUCGGAAGGCUCCAUUUUUUAAGGACAGGGCAUGGUUAUACCGGAUUGUAAUAUAUAUAUAUGUAUAUGUGUGUGUAGUCAAGGAUGUCUUUAUCCAUACGCAGAGUGCAGUGAGAGGUUCGGACACAGUUUUAUACAUGUAAUCCUACUAAAAGAUAUCGCUGAACAACAUCACAGUAAAUUUGUCGGAACAAUCAUCAAUCGUUUGAAUACACCAGUGGAUUAACUAUGUAUUGUGCCAGUCUUGUCAAGGUUAUGAUCGCAAAGUAUAAGUGGCGAUAUUUCCUUGUGUAACCCAUGAUGCUUGUAUAACAGCACGGGAAGACAAAGAUAAACACCUCACACGCUUUGUAUGUGUUAUCUGAUAACACGUAUACGAUCAUUUGACUAUGUGCCACCCUAGUGUUAAACAUCAUAUGCUUUUUAAUACUGUUACAUCAUAAACAGCUAUAUAUAGAUAUCGAACUGAUCGAACCAGACAGUCGAGGGACAUAUACGCAUUGAUGGUCAGAGAGGUCUACCAAAUAUCAAAGUGUUAUGGACAAGAUCCACUAAUGUCGGGCCCGUGGAAACCUCUGUCUGAUGAUAUGGGAAAAAUUCACCGAACCGCCUUGUUCAGCUGCUAACGUACAAAGUGUUGUCAUCGUAAUUGUGAUCGACUUGUUUAUACCCCAAUAACAGGAAUCACAGUUCACAGAAACCGGAUGUCACAGCCUCUUAUUGCAACUGUUCCUGUUCAUAGACACAUGCUUGUGAAGGAGUAUAACGAGAACUGUAAACCGUCCCAUUCCUACACACAAUGUUUCCCUAGUGAGGUGUAUUUUGUUUAGAAAACUUCGUUUCACAACUAAUUACUAUGAUAUAAAUCAAAUAACGUACGGUGUAUUACAAUAAGUAAUUGUUCCUCUCCCUUUGGUUGGGUAUUUCCGUGAUAUAUACGUUACCAAUGAUCUGUGUGAUAAUUUCCCUAAAUUCUAUAUCGAAAUAAACGAAGCUAUUGUAGGAAAUUGCACGUUUAAAUGUUCUGGCCAGAUUUUUGUUUUUUUUAUUUUUGCCAGAAAAUGGCUUAAAGUUCCGAUUCUUUGCUAAUUACUAUUUGUAAGCCGUAAAUUAGCUGAUUGGCUGUGUUCACUAAUUGUUCACGCGCAAAUCUUAGCCGUCGGGGAUACAAACCAAAUAGGUGAACAUUAUCUCAGGCAAUUUGGCCAGUCAUGAUCUGAAAGAGAUAUGUGCAAGUGUUCUGUCCCUAUGGGAUAAGAUACCAAAAGAUGUGUUUAAAAUGGUGCACAUUCAAAUUAAGAUGAAAUAAUAACAGAUUGUUUUGUCACAUAAUAACGAGGACAUGGACAUUCGAAACAUCUAGAUAACCCACAGGAGAAUUAGGUCAUUAAUUAGUUGAAAAUGUUAACGACAUUUUAACGCACUAUUGCAAUUGCUAAUGAGGCUAUUAAAGGACCCGAUGUGACGCAUGAUAAGUUAGUUGUACACGAAUGACCACGAGCUACAACGUAUAUCACCUCAAGAUGAAACGUAAAACAUUGAAGUUUCAACAAUGUAUUGUGAAAUCACUCAUUUUCAUGGGGUUUUUAAUUUUGUUGAUUUCGUGGGUAGUUUUCUGCCACGAAUUCGUAGGUUCAGGAGUAAUUACAAGUUUGACAUAAAGCUGUUUGAGUGGGUACUCAAGAACUCACAAAAUUUGCGCCCACGAAAAUAUCUGGUUUCACAGUAUCCUAUGUCUAUGCAGUAUGCUCAUCAAUAAAGGCAACUUAUCACUUGUACCUUUAUCUAGUCAGUAUGACAUUUGUUAUUAUUUUGUGAGUGAGUGUUAGGUUUUUUAUACAGGAACAUAUUUUAACAGUUUAAUAAGAGGUUGUACAUAUUGUCAUCUAACCAUCUUCUGAGUCUGCAGAUACGUAAAAUCUAAAUUAACAGAAUGAAAUUUUCAUUAUUAUUAACACAGACGUGAAUAGUCGCUGGUGAUUGAGUACAGCAAAUAAUAAAGAGUAAAACUUUAAGAUAGUA